AACGCACCUUGCGCUCCUUGGUAUUCCGAGGAGCAUGCCUGUUUGAGUGUCAUGAAACUCUCACCCUCUAGCUUUCUUAAUCGUGGCUAGCGGCGUGGACGUGAGCGCUGCUGCUUUAUUGCGGCUCGCUCGAAAUGCAUUAGCAGACCCUUUUCGUAAUCGGUUCCACUCAACGUGAUAAGUAUUUCGUUGAGGACAGUUGCAGCAAUGCGGCUGGCCGGGAUAAGAAAGGCAUAGUUGUCAGCUUCUAAUCGCCCUUGGGCAAUUUUUUAUGAUCUGGCCUCAAAUCAGGUAGGACUACCCGCUGAACUUAA
rnacentral:misc_RNA from 1 species